CCACCGCCACCACCACCACCACAUUCAUCAUCUUCUUACUCGUCACCACCACCACCUUACUCUUCACAGUCAUCCAGACCACCCCCUUCUCCAUCAACUUAUCUCAUCAACACACCAUCAGCUCCGUCGCCGCCCAUCUCUUACCCAUACUAUUACUUCUACGCUUCCAAGGCAGCUUCCCUUUCCCUUCCAGCUUUGUUUUCAUACUUUGUUACAUCACUACUUUGCUCGAGCUUUGUGUUUCGAUUUUGGUGAAAAUGUAAAUGUUGGGUUUCUAAGGGAAACAGGUGAAGGUGUUAUACAAUGAGUACUUCUGUCCAAAUCUGGGGUAUCAUAUGUGUAUCAUAUGUGUAUUAUUAGAUCUGUUAAGAGAAGGGUAAUCCAUUGUUCUUCCACAUUUUAAAUAUAUUUUAUACCUUUUUUGGUUUCU